rnacentral:rRNA from 1 species
UAGGGAAUAUUGCACAAUGGGCGAAAGCCUGAUGCAGCAACGCCGCGUGUGCGAAGAAGGCCUUCGGGUCGUAAAGCACUUUUCUGGGAGAUGAGAAAGGACAGUAUCCCAGGAAUAAGUCUCGGCUAACUACGUGCCAGCAGCCGCGGUAAAACGUAGGAGGCGAGCGUUAUCCGGAUUCACUGGGCGUAAAGCGCGUGCAGGCGGUUUGGUAAGUUGGGCGUGAAAGCUCCCGGCUCAACUGGGAGAG